AAAUCAACCGAGAUUCCCCCAGUAGCGGCGAGCGAACGGGGAGCAGCCCAGAGUCUGAAUCAGCUUGUGUGUUAGUGGAACGGUCUGGAAAGUCCGACGGUACAGGGUGAUAGUCCCGUACACCAAAAUGCACAGGCUGUGAACUCGAAGAGUAGGGCGGGACACGUGGUAUCCUGUCUGAAUAUGGGGGGACCAUCCUCCAAGGCUAAAUACUCCUGACUGACCGAUAGUGAACCAGUACCGUGAGGGAAAGGCGAAAAGAACCCCGGCGAGGGGAGUGAAAAAGAACCUGAAACCGUGUACGUACAAGCAGUGGGAGCACCUUCGGGUGUGACUGCGUACCUUUUGUAUAAUGGGUCAGCGACUUAUAUUCUGUAGCAAGGUUAACCGUAUAGGGGAGCCGCAGGGAAACCGAGUCUUAACUGGGCGUUAAGUUGCAGGGUAUAGACCCGAAACCCGGUGAUCUAGCCAUGGGCAGGUUGAAGGUUGGGUAACACUAACUGGAGGACCGAACCGACUAAUGUUGAAAAAUUAGCGGAUGACUUGUGGCUGGGGGUGAAAGGCCAAUCAAACCGGGAGAUAGCUGGUUCUCCCCGAAAGCUAUUUAGGUAGCGCCUCGUGAAUUCAUCUUCGGGGGUAGAGCACUGUUUCGGCUAGGGGGUCAUCCCGACUUACCAACCCGAUGCAAACUACGAAUACCGAAGAAUGUUAUCACGGGAGACACACGGCGGGUGCUAACGUCCGUCGUGAAGAGGGAAACAACCCAGACCGCCAGCUAAGGUCCCAAAGUCAUGGUUAAGUGGGAAACGAUGUGGGAAGGCACAGACAGCCAGGAUGUUGGCUUAGAAGCAGCCAUCAUUUAAAGAAAGCGUAAUAGCUCACUGGUCGAGUCGGCCUGCGCGGAAGAUGUAACGGGGCUAAACCAUGCACCGAAGCUGCGGCAGCGACACUAUGUGUUGUUGGGUAGGGGAGCGUUCUGUAAGCCUGCGAAGGUGACCUGUGAGGGUUGCUGGAGGUAUCAGAAGUGCGAAUGCUGACAUAAGUAACGAUAAAGCGGGUGAAAAGCCCGCUCGCCGGAAGACCAAGGGUUCCUGUCCAACGUUAAUCGGGGCAGGGUGAGUCGACCCCUAAGGCGAGGCCGAAAGGCGUAGUCGAUGGGAAACAGGUUAAUAUUCCUGUACUUGGUGUUACUGCGAAGGGGGGACGGAGAAGGCUAUGUUAGCCGGGCGACGGUUGUCCCGGUUUAAGCAUGUAGGCUGGUUAUCCAGGCAAAUCCGGAUAAUCAAGGCUGAGGUGUGAUGACGAGGCACUACGGUGCUGAAGUAACAAAUGCCCUGCUUCCAGGAAAAGCCUCUAAGCAUCAGGUAACAUCAAAUCGUACCCCAAACCGACACAGGUGGUCAGGUAGAGAAUACCAAGGCGCUUGAGAGAACUCGGGUGAAGGAACUAGGCAAAAUGGUGCCGUAACUUCGGGAGAAGGCACGCUGGUGUGUAGGUGAAGUCCCUGCGGAUGGAGCUGAGACCAGUCGAAGAUACCAGCUGGCUGCAACUGUUUAUUAAAAACACAGCACUGUGCAAACACGAAAGUGGACGUAUACGGUGUGACGCCUGCCCGGUGCCGGAAGGUUAAUUGAUGGGGUUAUCCGUAAGGAGAAGCUCUUGAUCGAAGCCCCGGUAAACGGCGGCCGUAACUAUAACGGUCCUAAGGUAGCGAAAUUCCUUGUCGGGUAAGUUCCGACCUGCACGAAUGGCGUAAUGAUGGCCAGGCUGUCUCCACCCGAGACUCAGUGAAAUUGAACUCGCUGUGAAGAUGCAGUGUACCCGCGGCAAGACGGAAAGACCCCGUGAACCUUUACUAUAGCUUGACACUGAACAUUGAGCCUUGAUGUGUAGGAUAGGUGGGAGGCUUUGAAGCGUGGACGCCAGUCUGCGUGGAGCCAACCUUGAAAUACCACCCUUUAAUGUUUGAUGUUCUAACGUUGGCCCCUUACCGGGGUUGCGGACAGUGUCUGGUGGGUAGUUUGACUGGGGCGGUCUCCUCCCAAAGCGUAACGGAGGAGCACGAAGGUUAGCUAAUCCUGGUCGGACAUCAGGAGGUUAGUGCAAUGGCAUAAGCUAGCUUGACUGCGAGCGUGACGGCGCGAGCAGGUGCGAAAGCAGGUCAUAGUGAUCCGGUGGUUCUGAAUGGAAGGGCCAUCGCUCAACGGAUAAAAGGUACUCCGGGGAUAACAGGCUGAUACCGCCCAAGAGUUCAUAUCGACGGCGGUGUUUGGCACCUCGAUGUCGGCUCAUCACAUCCUGGGGCUGAAGUAGGUCCCAAGGGUAUGGCUGUUCGCCAUUUAAAGUGGUACGCGAGCUGGGUUUAGAACGUCGUGAGACAGUUCGGUCCCUAUCUGCCGUGGGCGCUGGAGAAUUGAGGGGGGCUGCUCCUAGUACGAGAGGACCGGAGUGGACGCAUCACUGGUGUUCGGGUUGUCAUGCCAAUGGCACUGCCCGGUAGCUAAAUGCGGAAGAGAUAAGUGCUGAAAGCAUCUAAGCACGAAACUUGCCCCGAGAUGAGUUCUCCCUGAGACUUUAAGUCUCCUGAAGGAACGUU
rnacentral:rRNA from 1 species